GCUUGUUGGUGGGGUAAAGGCCUACCAAGGCGAUGAUCGAUAGCUGGUCUGAGAGGAUGAUCAGCCACACUGGGACUGAGACACGGCCCAGACUCCUACGGGAGGCAGCAGUGGGGAAUAUUGGACAAUGGGCGAAAGCCUGAUCCAGCAAUGCCGCGUGUGUGAAGAAGGUCUUCGGAUUGUAAAGCACUUUCGACGGGGACGAUGAUGACGGUACCCGUAGAAGAAGCCCCGGCUAACUUCGUGCCAGCAGCCGCGGUAAUACGAAGGGGGCUAGCGUUGCUCGGAAUGACUGGGCGUAAAGGGCGCGUAGGCGGUUUACACAGUCAGAUGUGAAAUUCCAGGGCUUAACCUUGGGGCUGCAUUUGAUACGUGUAGACUAGAGUGUGAGAGAGGGUUGUGGAAUUCCCAGUGUAGAGGUGAAAUUCGUAGAUAUUGGGAAGAACACCGGUGGCGAAGGCGGCAACCUG
rnacentral:rRNA from 1 species